UUCGUUCGACGGUUGAUCCAGGUCAGGUAGUAAGUGAGCGUCGAGCGAGCAUGUGGCGGCAAUGUGGCAUCCGGGCAUUUGUGAUUUGGCGCCAAUUCUAGUAAUGCCAUGCCAUCGCAGAUCGCUGGUCUCAUUUCAUUCGUAACCGACACGUUUCGUAGUGAACAAUGCUGCUUAUAUCGAUAGUCGGUUAUUCAAGAAUUGUUGUCAUCUCUGUGAAAAUGAAUAGCAGAAACUCGUCGUUCAUGUAAAUAAAGUUCAUAAUGUCUCAAUUGAAAUGUGUCUUCGAACUAUGGUUGGAGUUAUUUUGAAAAUGCUGUUUUUCUACCUAGAAGGAAUUGAGUGAACUGCUGACCAGUUGAAUCAUCUAACAUCAUGGAGUGAAGAUCAGUUCAAGCAGCAAAUAUCACAAUAUCACCUCUUCGAAAUGACGUACCCAAUGGUCUCUGGUUAGAUCUACAAAGAUUACCAUGUCAUAGAAUUUCCAACCAAAUGCCUCAUCCAAUUGAUGAUACGAUGAAAUGAUGAGACAGUUCCAGAAUCGCAUAACCAUAAAAGACGUACCGAAGAUUUCUGGUGACCUAUUCUAGCAUAUCGAUCUAGCACACGAUGAUGUCUCCGCAUUUCCAAUUAAAUACCUAAUUCAAUUAAAAUGACAGGGAAUUUCCAAAAUCAUUGGUCCGCAAAUUGAAGAGCCUCUUCGAGACGACCUACUGGAUGACUUAUGAUUAUUUCUAGAAGCAUAACCAUACAAUUAUGUCACCGAAUUUCCAACCUAAUGCCUCAGUUGAAUCCAAUGAUUGGCAGUUCCAGAAUUGUUGGCCAACAGAUGACAUACCCUCUCCGAAUUGACGUACCGAAUGAUUUCUGGUAACUUCUUUCAUCAUAACAACAAUAUAAUGUCAUAGAAGUCACAAUGAAAGUCAUCAUCCCAUCGACGAAAUCAUAGGGCAGUUCCAGAAUCACUGAUUCUCGGAUUUCACAGAAUUUACAAUAAAAUACAUCAUCCAAUCGACGAAAUCAUAGGGUAGAAUCACCGCACCCCAGAUUUCAUUAUCUUUUCAAAACGACGAAUGGUUUAUGGUGAUUUCUAGAAGCAUAAUCACACGAUGAUGUCACCGAAUUUCCAAUCAAAUACCUCGUCCUAUUCUAAUGGUUGGGCAGUUCCAGAAGCACUGGUCAAGAUAUAACAUCCCCGCAGCAAUGUGCCAAGUGAUUUUCUGUGGUUUCUAGAAGCAUAACCACACGAUGAUGUCACCGAAUUUCCAAUCAAAUACCUCAUCCUAUUCUAAUGGUUGGGCAGUUCCUGAAGCACUGGUCAAGAUAUAACAUCCCCGCAGCAAUGUGCCAAGUGAUUUUCUGUGGUUUCUAGAAGCAUAACCACACGAUGAUGUCACCGAAUUUCCAAUCAAAUACCUCAUCCUAUUCUAAUGGUUGGGCAGUUCCAGAAGCACUGGUCAAGAUAUAACAUCCCCGCAGCAAUGUGCCAAGCAAUUUUCUGUGGUUUCUAGAAGCAUAACCACACGAUGAUGUCACCGAAUUUCCAAUCAAAUACCUCAUCCUAUUCUAAUGGUUGGGCAGUUCCUGAAGCACUGGUCAAGAUAUAACAUCCCCGCAGCAAUGUGCCAAGUGAUUUUCUGUGGUUUCUAGAAGCAUAACCACACGAUGAUGUCACCGAAUUUCCAAUCAAAUACCUCAUCCUAUUCUAAUGGUUGGGCAGUUCCAGAAGCACUGGUCAA